UACGGGGGGGCAAGCGUUGUUCGGAAUUACUGGGCGUAAAGGCUCGUAGGCGGCCAACUAAGUCAUACGUGAAAUCCCAGGCUCAACCUGGGAACUGCGUCUGAUACUGGUUGGCUUGAAUCCGGGAGAGGGAUGCAGAAUUCCAGGUGUAGCGGUGAAAUGCGUAGAUAUCUGGAGGAACACCGGUGGCGAAGGCGGCAUCCUGGACCAACACUGACGCUGAGGAGCGAAAGCCAGGGGAGCAA
rnacentral:rRNA from 1 species